CAGCAGUGAUCAACUCUUCGAUCGAAGGUUCAUCCGUGGUUCGAUUGAGCUGAUUUUUGGACAGCAGCUAGGCGAUAAGGUGUUCUUGACUUUGUACGGUCGGAUUUUUCAUCCGAGUCUUGUAGCGUCGGAAAUACCCAUUUUUCAGCAGCUACGUUUUUGGUGAUGUUCUCUCAUUUUUCUCUCUUUUGCUAAAGAUUACAUAUGGUUAGCCUUGUCGGAGUUGAAUGCUUGUUGUAGGCUUGAUAUUGUGAUCUUGUAGUCGAACAUUUGAUGAUAGUAGAGCUUUUUAUCGGACUCUAAAGUCCCGUGGUUUUUACCCUUGAUUUAGAGGGGUUUUCUACGUAAAAAUACCGGUGUCUCUAUUUAUUUUUGUUGUGGUUGCAUUAGUUGAUUUGUCGUUGAUUAAGGUUGCUAGAGAACAUAUCUUGUGCUAUUGUGCUUGCCAUAAUUUUUGACAGGAGUUAUAAGGAGAGAAAGAACACCGGUUGUGCUUUCGCU
rnacentral:lncRNA from 1 species